GGAGAGGUGCCGGAGCGGUCGAUCGGGACUGUCUUGAAAACAGUUGACCAUUCACGUGGUCCGUGGGUUCGAAUCCCACCCUCUCCG
rnacentral:tRNA from 1 species